rnacentral:misc_RNA from 1 species
AAAUGCGAUAAGUAGUGUGAAUUGCAGAAUUCAGUGAAUCAUCGAAUCUUUGAACGCACAUUGCGCCCCUUGGUAUUCCAUGGGGCAUGCCUGUUCGAGCGUCAUUUGUACCCUCAAGCUCUGCUUGGUGUUGGGUUUUUGUCCCCGUCUCCGCGCGUGGACUCGCCCCAAAGUGAUUGGCAGCCGGCGUACUGGUCCCGGAGCGCAGCACAUGUCGCGCAAACGAGUGCCUUGGUACGGCGGCGUCCAUAAGCCCCUCUCUCACGCUCUUGACCUCGGAUCAGGUAGGGAUACCCGCUGAACUUAAGC